rnacentral:lncRNA from 1 species
CGGAGCUGUGAAAGUAUCAUUUCGCAACCCAACAGCCCUAGAACGAGGAUAAAAACUACCGUCUCAAGAAAGGAUACCUCUCCAAGUGAAGAAUUUUGUCUGGAACAGUUGGAAACCCGAAUUGCUAGUCUCAGUGAGUUAGGACCGAAUGCAGCUUCCUCUCCAAAAUCACAUUAUACAAUUUACAAUGGGUUGAACCAUUACACUCGAGAUGGCUCAAACAAUCUAUCAACUUUCAAAAUGCAGCUUGACAAACAAUCAACUAUUCCCAACAGCACCGUUAACUCAUUUUCACCCUCAUUGCACAAAAAACUCCAGAAUGGAAACAUUAAAAAGUCAAACAUUGACAUCAUGUCACGCAGCUACACAGAACAGUCGGUGAGAAACGACUUGAACGGAGUUAACUCUUUGAGCCGGUCCUUUUCAAAUGAACGACUCACCUCUGUGCCUCAUAAUUUAACCAAUGGUGAUGUUAACCGAAAUGACUUGGUCAGUGCACUGCAGGCAGAUGUAAAGAAGCUUAAAGACAAGACGAUUUACCAGAAUGUUCCAAAUCAAAAACGGUGUGUUCAAGAUGGUUUUGAGGAAGAAAAGCGGAAGAUAGAUAAUCUGGUUUAUGAAUUAAACAAGCUUGUAAACCAGCCUUCGAAAACUCCCAGUUUCUCGCCAAGCAAGCCGGAGAUGAGCAUACCAAAGGAGAAGAGUAAAUUCAUACUGCCGCUGGAUGAAAUUGACUCUGCAAUCACAGCCCAACGAAGGUCUUUGGACUUUGAUAAGGAUACAUUGAGGAAUGAGCGGCAGUCAAUGCUGAAAGAUUUGGUGGGGUUCAAAUCGAAGGUCCUUGAAAUUCGCCAGCAAGAAGAUGAGAUUCUGCGAGAGAUGGAGAUGGAAUGUGCGCUAUUGGAAGGAGAGUACAAGUCUGAAACUGGAGUGAUCAAAGCAGAGGAAGAAAGCUUGAGGGUACUGCAAGAAAAAUUGUCGAAUAUUGAGAAAGAAAUAGAAAAGUGCACUGCACAACAAGCAGAGAGUAAGCGAAAAUUGGAAGAAGAGCAGAAAUCUUUAAAUGAGUGA